GGGGACAGUCCGGGUGAACCACUCCCCCCCCGGGGCUUGUGUAUCCUCCUGGGGCUGAGGCUUGGGGUGAAGGGUCAGAUCAGCAGUCCUGGACUGAGCUCUGUGGGGCCGAGGGGGUGUUUGACGUGGAUGCAGGGGGCUCCCCAGGAUCACGACAGGGCACUUUGUGGAUGAGUACAGCGAGCAGGGUGGGAGUGGGGCCAGCCUGGAAAGGGCUAGGAGAGUCAAUCCUUCGGGGUUUCUGAAGUGAUUAUCCUGUGCCAGGCCCGGGCUGCCAGCUGCCUCAGGGGACACAAAAGGAGGUGAUAGAAAUGUGCCUGUGAGAGGAGAUGGGGGAGGGCUUGGGGGAAGAAGCUGGAAAUGGCCCAGAAGGUGGGGGCAUUUCCUGGGGAUCUCUGCUCCAGCUGUGCCUGGCCACUUGCAGGCGUGUGCCUUUGUACGUGUGGGCACACAUUUAUUGGGGAAGCAGUGCUUUUAUAGCUGGGGCCCAGGGCCCGGUAGAGGGGUGCCUGGGCCUUUGUUCCUCACCUACCUCUUCUGACUUGGUGGGUCUGACCCCUCCCCCCUUUCCUCCUUUGACUUUGGUGGGUCUGGCCCCACCCCCUCCUCCUUUGAUGGUUAUAUCUUUCUCUUCCAGAGCUCUUCGUGGAGCUCCUGGGCAUUGGUGGCCCUGCAGCCAUGGUGAUCCUGAGAUGCAGUUCCCUGAGGCCUCUUCCAAGAACUUUAAGGCAGGGACAGAUGUGAAGGGUGAGAUCCUGUACCUGGUGGCCCUGCCUGGUGUGAUAGGACUUUGGGAAAAGCCUUGGCCCACAUCUGGAGAAGGAGCUAUAGCGCCUCAAGACUCUGUCCACCCCCGAAAAAGGAGCAUGGAGGAGGAGGAGGGAGUGGCUUCAGGCUCCCGUCCGGCCAGAUCCCAGGUGAGCUGGAGUUUGUCGCGUCUAGCCCGAGCCCUUCCUUCUGGACCUUAGCCCGUUACUCUCCAGCGCCAGGCCUGGAGUUAGGAAGACCUGAAUUUAAAUCCGGCCUCCGACGCUUCUAGCUGGGUGACCCUGGGCAAGUCCCUUCGCCGCUGCCUGCCUCAGUUUCCUCAUCUGUAACAGGGACAGGAACAGCAUCUCCCUCCCAGGAUUGUUGUGAGGAUGAAAGGAGAUAGUACGUGGGGCACGCUGUUGCUGUUAGACAGGUCUAACAGGAACUGGAGGAAUUCUCAUCAGAGUCUUAGUAGGCUGUCUUUAGGAUUCCCCAGAUUCUUACGGGUUUGUUUGUAUGUCAACACAAUCAAUGAGGAUAUGAUGAAGAAGAUUUUCAUUGCUGGCUUGUGUUUUUUACAUUGUCUUCAUUUCUCCUACGUCCCUCCUGCUCUCCCAGCAGGAGAGCCGUCUAGCGUGAAGAUCGAGAAAGAGCCGUUCUGCGCCCCCCCCUCCCCCCGGGUCCCAGGGAGACCCGACGGCCGCAGAGCGGCUUCCACUGGGGGUUUCAGUGGUAGAAGCGUGUGCGCUGUUCCCCUUCACGCUGCUCUGCAGCCCACAGCUGGUUUUUCUGGAUGUCUCGUAUCGUUACGCUGCGUGAGUUCCCCUUUGCACUCUCCUUCCGACCUCUCGGGGAUCUCGGUGGCCUAGCAGAUGGACCUGAGUUCAGAUCCUGCCACAGACAUCUCCACGGCUAGGUUUUCCUGUGCUCUAUGAUUCUUGCAUCUUGUGGCCCGGCGAAGUGCCGAUGUGGUCACGUCCCUUGUGUCCUUUGCAGAGAUCUCUGUCCGUUGUCUCCUUUCCCUAGUUUGUUCCCACGUCUUUGCUACCACCUCUCUUUGUCAGUCCUUGGCUUCUGUAGGCAUGGCCCGGGCCUCAUGGCCACGUGGCCUGUGUCGGGCAGCCUCACUGGCUCCUCCUGC
ensembl:lncRNA